GACGAACGCUGGCGGCGUGCCUAAUACAUGCAAGUCGAGCGGACUUUCAAGAAGCUUGCUUUUUGACAGUUAGCGGCGGACGGGUGAGUAACACGUGGGCAACCUGCCUGCAAGACGGGGAUAACUCCGGGAAACCGGGGCUAAUACCGGAUAAUAUCUUCCUUCGCAUGAAGGAAGGUUGAAAGGCGGCGCAAGCUGCCGCUUGCAGAUGGGCCCGCGGCGCGUUGGCUAGGUGGUGAGGGAACGGCCCACCAAGGCGACGAUGCGUAGCGGACCUGGGAGGGUGGGCGGCCACACCGGGACUGGAACACGGCCCAGACUCCUACGGGAGGCAGCAGUGGGGAAUCUUCCGCAAUGGACGGAAGUCUGACGGAGCAACGCCGCGUGGGCGGAGGAGGGCUUCGGAUCGGAAAGCUCUGUUGUCAGGGAAGAACAAGUACCGUUCGAACAGGGCGGUACCUUGACGGUACCUGACCAGAAAGCCACGGCUAACUACGUG
rnacentral:rRNA from 1 species